CGGCGUUACGUCAUUUGAGAAAACAUCGAUUAAAGUUACGUCACAAAAAAUGGUGGACAUUACCACGUGUUCGCGGCAAUUAAUGCAUUUCUUGUUUUCAAUAAUACUCUACCUUGCCACAAGAAAAAAAUGAAGUGACAUUUAUAAACAUUUCCGUGUUUUGCAAUUCCGUUUCUUUAAAAAAUUUAAAUGAUUGAUAAUUUAUCGCCCUUUGAAUUGACACGCCAUUUGUAAACAUCGAAGGUCGCGGAGAAAAUGAAACUACCAAAAACAAUUAUUUGAUGAUUUAUUUCGAUUGUAUAAAGAAUGACAGUUAGCGAAUCUCAAGAUCAACCACUGAGGAUUGUUUGGCUUGAUGCAAUGACCUUAAACAGUGAAGUGAUUUUCCAGGAAGGUCUAUACACAACAAGUUGGAUUUUAUGGGGUGAUGAAAGAACUAUGAAUAUGUAAAUGGGAAUGAAACAGAAGGAAUGAAUAUGUUCUACUGAUCAUCCAGCUGAAAUCAUGCCUGUGGAAUAGAGUGCAUGUCACAAAUACUGAUAUGAGCAAAUACCUCCAUAUUGCACAAAUAAUGUGAUGUUUCCUGCCCUAAUGACCAGAAAAAGUUCAAAAUUCUAGUUCAAAUUACAAAUGUGUUUCAAGAAAAAGUAAAACUUAGUCAGCUGUGAGAAAUAUUGGGUAAAAGUAGUGUUUUGAUGUCGUGACAGCUGUGAAGUUGUUUGAGAAGCACUAUCCUAAUUUUUCUAACAAUACAGAAUUUAACUUAUAAAUUUUCCAAAACUGCAUGCAUGAAAUACUAAAACAUGUCUGUUGAAUGAAUCCUAGUUGUUUCAAAACUACAACAUGUGUGACACUAAAGCACAACCUUUGGAGGAAACAUUUUUACAAUAAAAACUGCCUUGCCAGUGUGAGUGUAGGAAGGAUUUUUCCAGAAAUGGCAGAAAACUACCAAUAUAGCAGAAAAUAUUUGUUACUGGCUGAAUAUAAUAUAUUUUAUUUCAAGAAUUAAUCAUGUUAAUCCAUGAUUAUAAUUGUGUUAAAAGAUAUUUUUACAUGACAUGACCUUUGCAGAAAUAGCUAAUUUUUUUUGGCAAAACAUUGUGAGUUGCCAUGGUAACACAAAUUUGACUUAAAUUUAGAUUUGUUUGAUUAUGUAAACAGCGUGUGUCAUGUUUAUAUUCUGCUAAUCAGACUAUGUUCUGCAAGAAAAUAUCUUUUAUGUGUAACCAUCAACAAAACAUGUCGUAACACAAAUCUGCCAUAAAAUGGCAGAGCUGUAAUGCAGGUAGGCAUAUCAGGAAAAUAUGUAGUUCUGAAAGACAAGUUAUAUUACAUAAAAUGAUGUUUGUUUCUUAUAAAUGAUCAUAACUGACCAUUUAUGGUGUAAAACAAAUGUAUACUGAACAGAUGCUAAAUGAAUGUUCUGAUUCUUUCUGGAAAAUUUUCAAAAAACUACUAUUUUAAGAAAAUAGUGCAUUGUUGCCAUGGUAACAUUAAUUUAACUUUUAACUUAUUUUGGAUAUCAUCAUAUGUAAACAACAUCUUUCUUGUUUAUAUGUUAUAUAUGUUAAGCUGUAUUAUGUUAGUGAAUAUAUUUUCAUUUGUAAUAAUUGCAUCAACAAAGCACUAUGUUAUUACACAAGCCUGCCUUAAAAUGGCAAUAGUUGUAAUUGAGAGAGGUGUAUCUGAAAAUUAUGUAUUUCUCAAACCAUAUUACAUUAAUUUUCACGGAAUGAUGUCUACCCUCUUACUUUUAAAUAAGAAAACAGACAGCUUUUGAUGUAAAUAUAUGGAAAAACACUUCCAAUGUUCAAUUUAUUACAAAGAAAUUGCCAAAAAAGUCAGUAUUUUUGUAAGAAAAUACCACAUUGUUGCCAUGGUAAUGUUAGUAUUUUUGUAAGAAAAUACCACAUCGUUGCCAUGGUAAUGAUUCACUGAUCAGUAUAUCUAAGUCUUUUGAAAUUUUAGCAAUCUCACAGUUGAUAAUAACUGUCUAAUAAUUAUAUCUUCUUACCUGAUAUUCUUUCUUACUGUUUAACAGAUAAGGUGUCUAUAAUAAUAAGAUUAAUGUCCUAGUUUUUGGGAUGUUGUCUAAUUUGGUAUCAAAUAAAUUCUGUAUCUUGUUCAAAAGAAUGUCAUAAAACAGUUGUCUGUAAACUGUUAGCACACUAGAAAAAGUUAGUUGUGUAUUUAGUUCACAUUCUAUGUAAUUUAUUGCUAGAUUUAUCAAGAGACUGUUAAAAAAGAGGUUAAACAACAGUGUUGCUAUAGAAACAAUUUUUAGAACAUAAAUAUUUUUAUACUACAUGAAAGAAAGAGAAAAAGAAAUACAUUCCAUUAAUUGCAUGUUGCUUUUGUUAUCUUAUCAUGUAUUUUAUCUUGAUAUUAUAUAAAUAUGGUGUCAUUACUAAGAUAUACUGCCUCAAUUUUGAUACAGUUAGACAAAAACAUAGUGUCCGAAAAGUGGUAAUAUCUCCAUGACAACGACUGAUUUUUGUUGUCAAAUUGAAGAUUUUUACUCAGAACGGGUCAGUCUGUCAGAUUAGCCCAAAUCCCCAUUUUUGACCAAAAUUGCAUUUGAACCCAAAAUCUCAUACUCUGUCACAUAUAUAUAACAAUAUGAAGAAUAUCAUAACAAUAUGAAGAAAGAUGGUAUUCGAAUAUACUUAAUUUGCAGGAAAGAAUUGCAGCAAUCAUAUCCAUUAUUGUUAUUUUUCAUUAUCCUGUGACAAGUAUACAAACCUGAUGGUUUUUGACACAAUAAAUCAUUUUACAUAACUUAUAUUUAAAAAGAGUUUUAUAAGUGUAAAAACAGUGUAAGAUCAAUUAAAUAUCUUUCAACGAGUGAACGCCAGAUGCAAAAUAAGUGCCAAACCGCGAUUUUAUAUGUAAAAUCUGGGGAAAAAAAUUACCUGAUAUACGAUUCGUAAACAACCGUAUAUAUAUAUUUAUUUCAUGAAUUUAAAACGAAAUUCUGUCGAUUUUCCCAACAUGAAUACCGGAAAGACCACAUUCAAAGGCAAUGGCUCUAACGGAAUUCCGUACAUUUACCCUGUGAUAUCGCGAUGAAAACAUUCGUUAACAUCGAUUUUGUAUACUAUAAAUUAAUAUAUUUAAACAAAGUAAUCGUUAUUAUGUUUUGGUUAAUAGUAAACUGUUCAUUUAACGGCAAUAUGUUGUUUGUUACGUGUUUAUUAGCACAUUUUAACACGGGUAACGCCUUCGUACAAAUAUAGGUUUAUUCGUGCUGAUAGAUAUUUCAGAUUCGCCAUUGCCAUCUAACAAGCGUAAUAGCUUUUUUAUUUUUAACACAUGACAAAAACUUGAAGUACAUGUAUUUCUUUGAGCUUGGAAGAUACUAUUGAUAUGAUCUAAUAUUGUAUGCUAUAAACUGUGUACAAUAACAAUGAACAGCUAUAGUAAGGACUAACAUCUUGUGCCUUUUGACUAUAUAACUCAUUUUUCUAGAAUGUAGUAGAAUUAAUCCUAAACUAAACCGAUAAGUAAUUUAGCUUGGAUCCUUUAUUUUUCAAUGUUUUAGCCUUUGACUUAUUUUAAAAUAUCAGUUAUAUGUUUAUUGACUGUGGCAAUACAAAGAGCUACACCAGGUGUUUGAAAUUAAGUUUGAACAAUAUAAACUAUAGACGUGCUAUUCUUAAGAAAGACUGAGUUCUUAUGACUUACUAAUUGAAAAAAAAUAUUUCUAUGAAAAUCGGAGUACUUUUAAAUUCAUGGAAUUAUUAAACUCAAAAUAUAAGAUUACACUAACGAAACUUGCAUUAUACAUCACUAAAUCCGUCCAAUGUUAGACCAGAUGUCACUUAGAUAUAAGUCUAUUUAUAUACAUUCGUGUUUUGAAUAUACCUUAGUAUCUUAUGUUAUGCUUAAUAUGUUUAUUUUGAUUUUCUCGCAUCUAUACAUGAAACAUGUUUAUUUGUUACUAUUUAUUCAUUUAUUAAUUAUUAAUACAACAUUGACUUUAUUAUGCUUUCUAUACAUGUCAUAAAUUAAUGUUUAUACGUUUUAUGUGUCAAUGAGCUUUUCAUGCUUAAGAUGAAUAAGAGUUAUGUCAUGUCAUGUAAUGUCAUGUAAUUGAAAUAUAAUGAGCAAGGAUAGAAAAUGAAUGUUGUUUUUUGUAUC